AAAAUAAUUACUGGGUCAUAUAGUAAAAUUAUGUUGCCCUUUUUAGAAACUGCCAAACUGUGUUCCAAAGUGGCUACACCAUUUUACAUUCUCACUAGCAGU
rnacentral:pre_miRNA from 1 species